AUUAAUUUAAAAAAUAUAAAUACAUAUGAAAAACUUUCAAGGAUUAACGAUGCUGAUUACCGUGAUAGUAUGGGCGUGGUUUAAGAGAGCACACCACGUGCGUUUUCAAACAGCGGGACUAACGGACGGACGACUUCAGACUCAGAGCUACUUCGACAUUCAGUGGUAAUUUCACAAAAUAUAUCCUUCAUGGAGUCUGACCGGGACUGGUAUCUCCCGACAUGCUCUGAAGCUUAGGUCCACUAAGAUGUCCCGUUGAUUGAAGCUGACAUGGAGUCACAGUGACAUCCUUAAAAACUGUUGUCAUGUAUAAUACAUCCCUGCAUCUUAAAAUAUUUCUCUGCAUCUUUAAAUAUUUGUUUUUUUAAUUUUUGUCUAUGUUUUAGAUUUAAGUGUUUAAGCUGUUUUUGCCAUGUCUACCUUUU